CUUGUGCGUAUUCAAUCCCGCGACACUGCAAUCGCUUCGACGACAUUCCGCAAGGUUGUCUAGGAGUGUUGUUGUUGUGCUCGUUGGAUGCAUUUGCGUGCGGAGUGCGCCGAGUGGGUCGAUGUCGCUGCCGGAAGGGCGUAUAGAGGACUCGGGUUUUCGGACUCGAGAAUCCUGUGCGUUCGGAUAGCAGGUGAUGUUGGCUCGCUGUUGUGGAGUGCGGGUGAAUUCGCGAUGGGCGUCGGUUGUGAGUUGUGGUUGCGGAUGGCACAUGUGUCUUCCGUUUCCGCGGCCUACGAUCGGCGUUCGUUGCCCCGGCACUCGACUCGGUGUAUAGUCGGUCACCCAUUCGACCCGUCUUGAAACACGGACCAAGGAGUUUAAGGUGUACGCGAGUCAUUGAGCUGCGAAACUCAAAGGCGUAAUGAAAGUGAGACAUUGGAUGUCGACGAUGUGAGCGUUGGGCGUUUCGACGUCCGGCGCGCAACAUCGCCCCGUGACUAGGACUUGUUCUGUUGCGGAGGUUGAGCGUACGCUUUGAGACCCGAAAGAUGGUGAACUAUGCCCGAACAGGAUGAAGCCAGAGGAAAUUCUGGUGGAAGUCGUACAAGUU
rnacentral:rRNA from 1 species